rnacentral:rRNA from 1 species
CCGCACGGUGAGUAACACGUAUCCAACCUGCCGUCUACUCUUGGACAGCCUUCUGAAAGGAAGAUUAAUACAAGAUGGCAUCAUGAGUCCGCAUGUUCACAUGAUUAAAGGUAUUCCGGUAGACGAUGGGGAUGCGUUCCAUUAGAUAGUAGGCGGGGUAACGGCCCACCUAGUCUUCGAUGGAUAGGGGUUCUGAGAGGAAGGUCCCCCACAUUGGAACUGAGACACGGUCCAA